CAUUGUGACCCAAAACCUUGGUAAGCUCCCUGCCAUCAUAGUUACAAACAAUGGUGUUUGUCACUCCCAUGCGAUGCAGAUUUGCAGUAAGUGACUUUAGUCUUGGUACCUUCAUCUCAUUUGCAUAAAUUAUUCCACUAUUUUUCAUAAGAGCAGCAAUAUAAGUUGUUUUACCACCAGGUGCAGCCGCCAUAUCAACAAUCCGUUCCUUUUCUUGAGGAGCAAGGGCCAUCACAGGCAAGAAUGAGCUCGCGCUUUGCAGCUGUGAACAAGCAACAGUAAGCACUAAUAAAAAACGUGGUAGAACAUGGAGUAGAAAGGAUAUUGUACCAUGUAGAAACCAGCCAUAUAUUCUGGAGUAGCACCAAUAGGCACUUGUGAAUCAUAAACAACCAAUCCAACCUUUGACCACUUGCUUAAAGGAUCAAGGUUUACUCCUCUGUUUAAGAGUACAUCAGCCAAAUCCCGUCUCCGCGUCUUUAAAGUAUUUGUGCGUAAACAUAUUGGUCGUGGCUUUUCAAAAGCCUCAACAAGUUCUAUGAGUUCAUUAACUGGGAACAUCUCAACAAAAACCCCAAUAAGGAAAUCAUUGUAACCAUAGUAUGAACAUAAAUCCAUCUUAAACUGCUCAAUGUAAUCCUUUCUUCUAGUCCCCUCUUGCUUCAAAUCUUUAAAAUUUGAAAGCACUCGCACAAUCUCUCUUAUCCUCCUCUGGAUAUUUGGAAGAUCUGGAGGCCUGUG
rnacentral:misc_RNA from 1 species